UCAUCAUCAUCAUCAUCAUCAUCAUCAUCAUCUUCAAGUAACAGAUCUGAACCUCCAUCGGCGUUUUACCGCUCCUCCACCGCAACCACCCACCCCCUUCUUCCUUCAACCCACAAGAACAGAUCUGAAAUCGUUAUCACUUUCUCUGCACCUCACUCAUAUAUCUAUCACAAAUAAAUCGGAUCUACACUAAGUGCCUUCCUUCACUCUGCAAUCGAUGAAGAAGAAAGGGAAAAAAGCCCUUAAAAGACACGGGUAGUGGAGUUUUGUUCAUCACUCCAAAUUAUCAUCCGAUUUCGGUUCCAAAAUAUCCACAACCAGACACACAAUCAACAAUGGUGUUGGCAGAGCCCAAUUUAAGAGGUCCAUUGCAAUUUAGGGUUUUUAAUAGAGACAACGACCCAUUUCCUUCUUUCUGUCCACCAUAAAAACCCUAAUCUCUUUCUCGAGCAGCGGCAUCAGCCAAGCAGAUGGACCCUAAGUUCUUGAGGAACCAGAGGUAUGCAAGGAAGCACAACCAGCAGACUGGUGAUUCUGCUCAAGAGGAAUAGAUGUUUUAGGGUUCUAUUAUUGUCUAUGUUUGAACUUUAUUAAUCUGAACUACUAUAUUUUCAUGUGACUUUUGAAUCUUGUUAUAUUCUAUUUUGAUGUUAUGGUUA